AUCAGGAACUCGAAUGACGAACACUUAACCAAAGAUAAGUAACGAUACCCAUUUCUUAAUUUGUAAAUACCUAUGACUUAUAGAUCCAAAAAAUCUAAUCUUUUAUUUUACCUGGUCAGGGUUAAAUUACUUUCAAUAAGAGGAAGAUUAGAGACAACAAUUGGAUUGAAGUUUGGCCUAAAACUUACCUGUGAGUUUUGGAUUUCUUUUUCCUUGCAAGUAGGGAAAAAAUUCCGUCUACAAUGGAUCACUAAGCUUUUGAGUGGAGCUUGAAUAUAUAUAAUCGAAUUGAGUCUUCUUUCAAAGAGUCAGGAAAACAAAUGAAGAACACUAAAUUAAAGAUAAGUAACGAAAUCCUCUUAUUGACUUGUAGAUGGCUCUACUACAAUUUUUUUUUUUUGGACAAACUCUAAUGUUUAAUUUUACUUGGUCAGGGUAAAAUUACUUUCAGUAAGACGAUAAUUGGGGAACAAAUGUGUUGAAGGUUGACUUAUAAGAAACCAGUUAAUUCCUGUUACAGGGUUACAUAAGUUAAAACUUUGAAAAUAGAAGUGGAAGAGUAACGAAGCAAUCUAUACUAUAUAUACUGGGUAGUUGAGAUUCUGAGCAAUGAAUAAUAAAAGUGUCUGAUAAUGCAUAUAUUGAUUCUUGUAUUUAGUCA